GAUGAACGCUGGCGGCGUGCUUAACACAUGCAAGCCGAACGAAGCGCUUUUAAUUUCCUCGGAAAGAGAGAGUGACUGAGUGGCGGACGGGUGAGUAACGCGUGGGUAACCUGCCUCAUACAGGGGGAUAACAGUUAGAAAUGACUGCUAAUACCGCAUAAGCGCACAGUACCGCAUGGUACGGUGUGAAAAACUCCGGUGGUAUGUGAUGGACCCGCGUCUGAUUAGCUAGUUGGUGGGGUAACGGCCUACCAAGGCGACGAUCAGUAGCCGGCCUGAGAGGGUGACCGGCCACAUUGGGACUGAGACACGGCCCAAACUCCUACGGGAGGCAGCAGUGGGGAAUAUUGCACAAUGGGGGAAACCCUGAUGCAGCAACGCCGCGUGAGUGAAGAAGUAUUUCGGUAUGUAAAGCUCUAUCAGCAGGGAAGAAAGAAGACGGUACCUGACUAAGAAGCACCGGCUAAAUACGUG
rnacentral:rRNA from 1 species